rnacentral:rRNA from 1 species
AGCGAACGCUGGCGGCAGGCUUAACACAUGCAAGUCGAACGGGCAUAGCAAUAUGUCAGUGGCAGACGGGUGAGUAACGCGUGGGAACGUACCUUUUGGUUCGGAACAACACAGGGAAACUUGUGCUAAUACCGGAUAAGCCCUUACGGGGAAAGAUUUAUCGCCGAAAGAUCGACCCGCGUCUGAUUAGCUAGUUGGUAGGGUAAUGGCCUACCAAGGCGACGAUCAGUAGCUGGUCUGAGAGGAUGAUCAGCCACAUUGGGACUGAGACACGGCCCAAACUCCUACGGGAGGCGGCAGUGGGGAAUAUUGGAAAAUGGGCGAAAGCCUGAUCCAGCCAUGCCGGGUGAGUGAUGAAGGCCCUAGGGUUGUAAAGCUCUUUUGUGCGGGAAGAUAAUGACGGUACCGCAAGAAUAAGCCCCGGCUAACUUCGUG